rnacentral:pre_miRNA from 1 species
CACUGGGGGGGUGGUCCCUCAGCCUGGAUUGCGAGAGGGCACAGGCCAGGCCAAGGUACCCCACCGGUGAUUG